rnacentral:rRNA from 1 species
CCUACGGGGGGCAUCAGUGAGGAAUAUUGGUCAAUGGGCGCGAGCCUGAACCAGCCAAGUAGCGUGAAGGAUGACUGCCCUACGGAUUGUAAACUUCUUUUAUAAAGGAAUAAAGUGCGCCACGCGUGCCUUUUUGUGUGUACUUUAUGAAUAAGGAUCGGCUAACUCCGUGCCAGCAGCCGCGGUAAUACGGAGGAUCCGAGCGUUAUCCGGAUUUAUUGGGUUUAAAGGGAGCGUAGAUGGGUUGUUAAGUCAGGUGUGAAAGUUUGCGGCUCAACCGUAAAAUUGCAGUUGAUACUGGCAGUCUUGAGUACAGGUGAGGUAGGCGGAAUUCGUGGUGUAGCGGUGAAAUGCUUAGAUAUCACGAAGAACUCCGAUUGCGAAGGCAGCUUACCAAAGUGCCACUGACAUUGAUGCUCGAAAGUGUGGGUAUCAAACAGGAUUAGAUACCCUAGUAGUC